rnacentral:tRNA from 1 species
GAGGGUGUAGCUCAGUGGUAGAGCACAUGCCUAGCAUGCAUGAAGCCCUGGGUUCAACCCCCAGUACCGCCA